rnacentral:rRNA from 1 species
AACGAACGCUGGCGGCAUGCCUAACACAUGCAAGUCGAACGAAACCUUCAGGUCUAUUGUCGCCCGGCUUCGUAACGCGUGGGAACCUUCCCUUAUGUUCGGAAUAACUCCCCGAAAGGGGUGCUAAUACCGGAUAAUGUCUUCUAACCAAAGAUUUAUCGCCUUUGGAUGGGCCCGCGUGGGAUUAGCUAGUUGUUAGGGUAAAAGCAUACCAAGGCGACGAUCCAUAGCUGGGAUGAGAGGAUGAUCAGCCACACUGGGACUGAGAAACGGCCCAGAAUCCUCCGGGAGGCAGCAGUGGGGAAUAUUGGAACAUGGGGGAAAGACUGAUCCAGCAAUGACGCGUGAGUGAUGAAGGCAUUAGGGUUGUAAAGCUCUUUUACCCGGGAUGAUAAUGACAGUACCGGGAGAAUAAGCUCCGGCUAACUCCGUG